CGAAGCGGAACGUGUGAACUUAACCAGUGCACCACUGGCCCAGUCCUAAAGUUUCUUUUUCUUAAGGAAAAAAGUGUAUCAAUUUAAGGGCAUAAAAGAAGAGGUGGGGCUCAAAUGGAACAAAUCUCUCGAAGGACUGGUGUUUGGGAAAUGAAGAAUGCGCUCCUCUGACCCUCCCAGCCACCCGAAGCAUGGAGUGAGCCCCACACUGCAAGUCCACCCCUUCUGUGAGCCUCGGUUCCAGCCCCUGGGAAACGGCGCCGUUAACCCUGCCCGCAUCCUGCACCGGCUGCUGCGUGGGUCCCACGAGGUGGGAGACAAGAUCAAGAUCAGCACUUGGGUGAAGCGAGCGGGGCACACCCCUCAGGCCCCAAAUUGAAGGGGGUUCCCUAAAGCCGUAAUCAAGACAGACAGCCCAAUGAAUAGCGGGAAAAGGGUCUCAACAGACAUUUCUCCAAAGAAGAUACACGAAUGGUCGACAAGCCCGUGAAGAGAUGCUCAACAUCACUCACCGUUAGGCAACUGCAAAUCAAAGACCACAAUGAGAUACCCUCUCACAGCCACUAAGAUGGCUAGAAUAGGAACAAGACAGACAACAACUAGUGUUGGAGAGGAUGCGGAGAAAUCGGACCCCUCACCCAGUGCUGGUGGGAAUGCAAAAUGGUGCAGCCACUGUGGGAAACAGCGUGGCGGUUCCUCAGUAAGGAAAACACAAAAUUACUGUGUGACCCAGCACUCGUUCCUCUUCCAGGUAGACCCCCGGAGAAAUGAACACACGUGUCUACACAAAAAUGUGUACACAGAUGCUCACAGCAGAAUUAUUCAUAAUAGCCAAGAGUGGAAACUUCCUAAAUAUCCAUAAACAGACGAACAGAUAAAUAGAGAAUAUUUCCGUGCAAUGGAGCAUUAUUCAGCAGAUCUUUGUUUUGAAUACCACUCUCCAAUAAAAGGAGCCGAGGUUCCUUGGAGAAAUGGCUGACUCUACGACCAGGGAUUACACAAGACGAGCCUGGAGCACCUUGUAGGAGCCAGGAACUAAGGAUGUGCUUACACACCCACACACACUGUGUCAAAGACACACACGGGCCAACUGAAAGAGCUCCCAGUAGCCAAAGAUGGAACCAUUCGCGAGGAAGGGGAGAAUCAGAUUAUAACCCAAAGUAGGGAAAAUUCUAAAAAAUAUACCCGUGAUUCCAUACUGAUAGAAACAAAUGUUUGGAUAAACAAAUGAAUGGGGAGAGCAGACAAAUCCCUCACGCGCAAGAAACGCACGAUAACUACUGUAGGUUCUCCCCCUCAAGCGGGCGGAGCGUAACUCCCCUCCCAAGGGCCGCCCUGCGUGCGCGUGGAACCUUCCCUCCGAAGAGUGUGAUGACCUGAUUGGACCCUUUCAAGAACUCCACUGGGUGGAUACCAUUCUUAUCCCCAUUUUACAGAUGAGGAAACUAAGCCUCAGCGAGGCCAAGCUCUGGGUCCUUGGCUCUAGGUGACACGGCUGGUGACUACAGAACUUUUCAGCUCCUCCAGAGGGUCCUGUGCUGUCCAUCCAGCCUGUUCCCCGCAGUAUGCCUAGGGUCUCGCAGGGUGUCAGGGGUGUAAUGGGUGCUCAGUAAGAUUGUCAAAUGAGUGAAAGAGAGAGCAAGCAGAGAGGAGAGGACAGAAGUGGAGAGAGAGAGAUGGAACUAGAGAUUGGGUGGUCCCUGGUGCCACUGCUGUGGGUCUGUGCGACUCUGGCCAGGUUCCUUGACCUAUCUGAGUCCCCGUCCCACUUUCCUCAUCUGGCUUUCCUACCUCAUAGGUUGAUGUGAGAAUAGAAUGAGGGCGCUGGUGUGUACUCUACGUGAAUCUCACUCCCUGCACACCGUUGUGCAAGAAACACUGUUUUCUGUUUUCUAAGAGGCAGUUUCAGCCUCUAAGCCGCCUCUGCCAGGCCGGCAGGAAACAACUUCAGCUCUGGAGUCUGUUUUAGGUGCGGGAUGCGGGGGUCCUCGGUCACUGAUCCUCACAGGUUUCCGCCUGGACGCCAUCUUCACAAAUCAGCGUGGGGUGGCUGAAACUGAGCAGCUCCUGGCGGCCUUCUCAUCCCCUGGGGCCCGGGAGGCUUUUCUGGGGAGACUGCCUGGGGUCCACUGGCCCACAGACCCCAGGAAGGCCCCUGCUCUCUGGCAGCGUGGCCCACACAGGAAACAAGUAUAGUUGAACCCUCUUGUCCUGUUGUGCAAGAACUCAGCAGAGGUGGGAGUGGAAACCCAGCGUGGCCUCUCACCUAGCCCAGGCUCCAGGGGAGGGGCGGAGGUGGGGACAUCCCCUACAGGGGCCCCUUUCUCCAACUCACACAAAGGCAUCCCAUGGCCCAGCAGGAGGGCUGGGGGAGGCCCCUUGGCUCCAGGAUCUGCCGACCUCCUUAGCCUUUCCCCACUUGCCCCAGCCCUGGGUCCACCUCCCUGGUCAGGGCUGGGAGCCGUCCAUCCUCCAGGUGUCCUCCAGGAGCUCUGUCCAGGCUGGGAGUCCUCUCCCCAGGUGGGCUGCAGGCUUGCUGCCCCACCUCGCCCUUCCCCUGGGGCAAUGGGUACAGGGAAAGGGAAGGAGUAAAAUACAGGGGAAAUGGGGAGGAAGCAGAGUCCAGAUCCACAUCUCUGAUCCUGUCUCUCCCACAGGCAGAGCGCCUGGCUCCUGCCAGGUCACUGUGCCGCUGUCCCCGGGCCUCCCUUCCCCAUUCAUUUGCAUGAAAUCUCGCAGCGUUUUGAGGUUCUCAGCGCACCUUCUCAUCUUCUCCUUGCCCGAGGUCACACAGCACAUCAGGGAUGGAGAUCUUUUGGCUCUGGGACCCUGUGGUGACCCCCACGGGAUGACAGCCAGCUUACUUCGAUGCCUCCGUGGCCACAGGUGUGCUGACCCCUUUCCUGGGGUCCCUCCUGUGCCCACCUGGCAACAGGCCUGUGAUCCCAAUGGGAGUUAUCAACCCCCCACUUCGCUCUGCCUCCCUCAACAGUGAUUGGUGAAUGGGUAGGCACCUGAUCCAAACUGGGCCAACUGGAGAGUGCCAGCCCCCUGGUGGCACUGACAGGCCCAAAGAUGGACACAUGACACAUGACAAAACAGAGUAAUCAAGUCCUUCCCUAGGAUUUCUCUACCCUGACGGGCGCAGCUGGAGGCCAGCCCCUUGGCGGCACUGAUGGGAGCCAGCCAGCCCUGGCUUUGAGUCCCUUGCAGCACUCGCUCGCUAGCUGUGUCACCUAUGGCAUAUUGUGAUUUAUAAGAAAGAUAGAUCUUGUCUUUGCCCCAUU